rnacentral:tRNA from 1 species
GUCCGGAUGGCGUAGCGGUCAGCGCAUCUGCCUAGUAAGCAGGAGACCUGGGUUUGAAUCCCGGUCCGGCACA